AAAGAAAAUGGAACCCCUUUUUCUUUUAAAUAUUCAAAAAUUGAAUAUAGUUCUAGGUAAAAUAUUGAUAAUGACAAAAUUUUAUCUACAUGUCUUGACCAAAUCUUGUGCCAGCAGUCGCGGCAACACAAGGAAGACUAGUGUUAUUCAUCUUAAAUCGGUUUAACGGGUACCUAGACGGUAAAUUAGGCCUUAAUCGGAACAUUUUUACUAGAGUUAUAUAUGCGUGAGGAUGAUAUGUCAGUAUUACCAGAGUAGAGAUAGAAUUUUUUGAUACUGUUAAGACU
rnacentral:rRNA from 1 species